CACUACUCUUGGUCCUUGCCGGGUUUGGAAAGGAUGGUUAUUGUCGUUGCCAGCGUUUCGUUGUGGAACCUAAUCCCUGAAGAGAGUGAGUUCAGGGCUUUGACGAGUUUAGGGAUGAGCGCGUCACCGAAUCUCUUGUAGUAUUCCAGGAAGAACCCAUCGAGUCCCAGCACCCUGACCAUUUUUUGCCAUCUUAAUUGCUGCCUUAAGUUUCUCCUCCGUGAUUGACGCGUCAAUGAGAUUAGUUUUGGGGGGUCUGUGCAGUUUCUCUGGUUUCUCUGGUCUAGGUUGUAUAAGGUCGAAUAAAAAGUGAGGAAUUUGUUCACUAUUAUUUCCGGGUGUUACGUCGUCUUCCCCCCAGUGAGUUUCAGUUUGUGUACUUGUGCUUGGAUCUGUGGCCUCUGAGCAUUCUUACCAGGAGUUUGCCCCCUUUAUUCACGUGUAUGUAAAAAAAGUCUUUGGACCUUUGUAUGUUUUUGUAGUGCUUGCAGCUGUUUCCUGAGGUUCAGCAGCUCCUUAUAAUUUUCAUCCGAGAGUCUUUUUGUGACUUGCCUCGAUGUCGCCGAUUUUGGCGAGCAGAUCGUCCAUUAUCCGUGAGGCGCCGCUUUUCUUUUUGGUGGCUAGUUGGAUAAUGAGGCCUCUCAGGACACUCUUGUGGGCUUCCCAGAUGGUGGCGUUGGAGAUCUCCCUUGGCACAUUGACUGUGAAGUAGGACUCUAGGGCUUUGGUGAUCUGUUCUCUUAUUUCU